rnacentral:misc_RNA from 1 species
CGAAGAUGUACGCCCUCUACGCACUCGCGGUGACUACCGGCGCUCGUCUUGGCGAGCUACUGGCCUUGCAUCGCGCCGACGUUGACCUCGACGCGGGCACGCUGCGC